AUGAGGCUUUAUCUACUGUUUCCUAUCGCAUUGAGUGGAAUCUGAGACAUACUCUCAAGCUAGGUUGCACGGGUAUGCCAACUUGGUGCCGUCUCACGUACCGGGUUCGUUGGGGGGACGGAUACGGCUCGGGUACGCCUGGGAAACGUACCCAACACGUGUAAGGUGAACCCGGGACGGCCUGACUCAGCGGGGGCGGGCUUGGUCAGAGAUUGGAGAGUCUCAAGUCUACAUAUGAAACUCUCUUUGAGAUGUUAAAAUACUCAUCCUGGAGGGUUGCAGUUUUUGUCCAUCCUCUGUGUUGAUCUUCAUUAGUCAUAGUCCUGCUACUUUAAGCUUCAUCAAAUCACUUGGGAUGAUCAUGCUUCCUUGCUUGAGAAAACUGUUGCUUAUGAGGCGGUGCAUCAAAUCAGCAACAUCUUGGAUCUUAAGAAAGAUUGGGAAUAGGUCGUUGAUGCUUUGGUUAUUAUCAUCCAUCUAUUCAUGGGCAGGGACAACAACCUAGGUGACGAUAUGCCAGGAGCUACAUGUGUGUCCUGCAUCUGCUCAAAACGCCACAAGCUGUCUGAAACUGAUCA